rnacentral:rRNA from 1 species
UGGGGAAUAUUGCACAAUGGGGGAAAGACCCUGAUGCAGCGACGCCGCGUGGGUGACGAAGUAUUUCAGUAUGUAAAGCCCUAUCAGCAGGGAAGAAACUGACAGUACCUGACUAAGAAGCCCCGGCUAACUACGUGCCAGCAGCCGCGGUAAUACGUAGGGGGCAAGCGUUAUCCGGAUUUACUGGGUGUAAAGGGAGCGUAGACGGAUCUGCAAGUCUGGAGUGAAAGCCCGGGGCUCAACCCCGGGACUGCUUUGGAAACUGUAGGUCUAGAGUGCCGGAGAGGUAAGCGGAAUUCCUAGUGUAGCGGUGAAAUGCGUAGAUAUUAGGAGGAACACCAGUGGCGAAGGCGGCUUACUGGACGGUAACUGACGUUGAGGCUCGAAAGCGUGGGGAGCAAACAGGAUUAGAUACC